GAAGACAAGAAAGAAGGGAGAGAGCCACCGUUUUUAGUGAGAAAGAAGAGAAGAGAGAAAAAUGCAAGUUUUUCUCAUCAUGCCCAGAUUUCAUCAAAGGUUUGAUCCCACUUCGUCCGUGGUCCGAUCGAGCUGAAAUUUGGAGGAGAGUUUCGUGACUCAUUUAUCUUCAAUCUGAACGGUUAAGAUCGGAUUUGGAGUUUCAGAAAGUCAUUAGAAAGAAAGAGGAGAAGAGAGAAAAACAUAGGUUUUCUCAUCAUGCCCAUAUUUCAUCAAAUGUCCAAUCCCACUUCGUCCGUGGUCCGAUCGAGUUGAAAUUUGAAGGAGAGGUUCGUGGCUCAUGUAUCUUCAAUAUGAACGGUGGAGAUCGGAUUUGGAGUUUUGGACAGUCAUUAGAGAGAAAGAGGAGAAGAGAGAAAAACGUAGGUUUUUCUCAUCAUGCCCAGAUUUCAUCAAAUGUCCGAUCCCGCUUCGUCCGUGGUCCGAUCGAGUUGAAAUUUGAAGGAGAGGUUCAUGGCUCAUGUAUCUUCAAUAU
rnacentral:lncRNA from 1 species